rnacentral:rRNA from 1 species
UGAUGGAGAGUUUGAUCCUGGCUCAGGACGAACGCUGGCGGCGUGCUUAACACAUGCAAGUCGAGCGGAAAGGCCCCUUCGGGGGUACUCGAGCGGCGAACGGGUGAGUAACACGUGAGCAACCUGCCCUUGACUUCGGGAUAAGCCUGGGAAACUGGGUCUAAUACCGGAUACGACCAUUGCGGGCAUCCGUGGUGGUGGAAAGUUUUUCGGUUGGGGAUGGGCUCGCGGCCUAUCAGCUUGUUGGUGGGGUGAUGGCCUACCAAGGCUUCGACGGGUAACCGGCCUGAGAGGGCGACCGGUCACACUGGGACUGAGACAC